rnacentral:rRNA from 1 species
UGGGGAAUAUUGGACAAUGGGCGAAAGCCUGAUCCAGCCAUGCCGCGUGAGUGACGAAGGCCUUAGGGUUGUAAAGCUCUUUUGGCGGGGAAGAUAAUGACGGUACCCGCAGAAUAAGCUCCGGCUAACUUCGUGCCAGCAGCCGCGGUAAUACGAAGGGAGCUAGCGUUGUUCGGAAUCACUGGGCGUAAAGCGCACGUAGGCGGAUUUGCCAGUCAGGGGUGAAAUCCCGGGGCUCAACCUCGGAACUGCCCUUGAUACAGCAAGUCUUGAGUUCGAGAGAGGUGGGUGGAAUUCCUAGUGUAGAGGUGAAAUUCGUAGAUAUUAGGAAGAACACCGGUGGCGAAGGCGGCCCACUGGCUCGAUACUGACGCUGAGGUGCGAAAGCGUGGGGAGCAAACAGGAUUAGAUACCCGUGUAGUCCCUGAGCGGGCUGGCAAGGCGCAU